AGCUGGGAGGAGCGGGAGCGUCCGACCCCGUGGGCUCCAGACGGGGCUUAAAUAUCCCGGGGGCGGUGCCGCUCCUCCCACCCGCGCCCCGCGCCCGCGCCCGAAGCCCUGGACUUGAGGCGCGCGGUGAGGUCGUGCCGGUCGGCGAGACUGAGCGCGGUCGCGUGCGGGUGGCCAAGUUGGUUGGCUUUUGAGGCGAAAAAGCCCCUACCCCGUAAGAGAAACAAACAAAAAAAGGGUUCCGUGUGGGAGUCCUGGGGCUGCCUUGGCUGGAAUCGGAGUCCACCGCUCCGGACCUUGGGCGAGAAACUCAACCUUCCUGAGGUGUUUCCUCACUUGGCAGAUGGGGAAAUGACAGUUGCCUUUUGCCGGCAAUGUUGUGGGGGAGUAAAUAAGAUAAUGCACGUGAGGAGCCGAGAGCAGGGCCUGGCACCUGGCGAGGAGGGGAACAGCGCUCGGCAGAUGGUCUAGGUUGAUGGAUGAGAGAGACAGAAUCCCACAGAGGUAUCUGUACAUCACAGCAAUAAAGGAAAUGGGGAAGCCACUACUGGAACUUGGUUAACAGUAAACAAGGCUGGAGGUAGGCAUCCCAGUGUGUGUGGUGGCUCUGCUCCUCAGUGGCUGACCUGAUUUGCCUGAACCGAUAUGGCUUUUACUACAUCUCUGCUCCAGUCAGAUGGUUGGAAGAAGUGGGGGGCGCCAACAACUCAGUUGAUUUCUUCGAGUCGGAGGCUCAGACUUGGACUUGGCAAAGGACGAAGAUAGAAGUGAGGGACCUUGAGGGAGAAGACUGGCUGCAGGAAAAUGUGCAAAUAUCAAGGUUACCUGGGUCUGCUGGUCACUUCUAGUUUUUGGACUCUUGAAGAUGGUGAUCAGAUGCAGCACUAACCAGGAGAUGGAAGUGUGUACAACUGGUUAAGCCUGUAAGGUUUGGCUUUGGAAUUCUUCCUCUUCCCCUUUGGGGUUGCUUUGUCCGCAAAGCCCCUGUCCCCUGUCCCCUCAAACUGUCACCCAAGUGUUACCCCUCCUAAGGACAUUGGCAUUUUAGGAACCUACUUUUAAAUCAAAGACCCUUAAAUUCCUUUAAAUUCCAUUCUAAAGGAAUGGUGGGACAUUCCAAGCUUAGUAGGUAGGAUGGCAGAUAUUUGGGAGCCAGAUAAAGCUGGACAUAACCCUUUACUGUAGGACUCCAUAAUAUAACUCCCGUGUCCACUUCCCUCCUCUCCCCCUCCCAUCCUUCACGGCUCUCUGCAGUCUCAUCUUAGGUGAGAAGCAAGCAAGCAAAUCAAAAAAAAAAAAAAAAAAAAAAAAAAAAAAAAGAAAAGAAAAGAAAAAACAAGAGAAGAGGUAAAAAGAAUACCUGGGAUCCUAGAGAUUAUUUUCCCCCUUUACUAGCCACCAAAACGCUUGUCAUUGGGCUUGACUGUGAUAAUGAAUACUGUACAGGUGGAGGAGGAGUGAGGGCUGCGGGCUGGAGCAGAUGCAGGGGCAGGGGGUGGAGAGGUCCAGCACGGUCACUCUCUAGCUCUGCUAGAAGAGCAUCAUCUCAUCACUCAUUUACAGGGUAGAUGUAAGACCCACAACAAGCUUCAAUUUACUUAGCUAUAAAUGGCAGUUAAAAAAAAUUACAGUCUGUGCAAAUGGAAAGGGGCUAACGCUUGUAGAAGUUCAUUACAGGAGGAAAGGAAGUGAUGAGGGAGCAGGAGGCUGGCUGAGAACAAAGCAAAAGCUGGCGCCUUGCACCCCCCCUCCACCCGCUCCCCCCAUAUGUGUAGCAUUCCUCAGGCACCCCUGACUGCCAUAAAACGAUAAAUAGUUAACUUGCUGGAGAUCACAAUCCUGCAAGACAGGAGUCUCCCUUGGUUUGCAAAUGUCCUUGAGAUUUAUAACAAAGAAGUUACCUUAUCAAUAGCCCAAUUUCCAAAGACACAGAACUCAGUUCCUCAAGCCUAAUGUCACCCUCCCCUCCAUAAAAAAACCGAAGGAGGUAGAAGUAGAAGGAAAAGUAAAUAAAGUUAAAUUUCUUCUAAACCUAAAUCUCAUUAACAAGGAUGCUUGAUAGCAGGAAUGUAACAUUCCACCAGGAGACUCCCAAUUGUCUUUACUUGAUAGUAACCAGGCCUUCUAUAUCCUGAUAGUAUUCUUUGCCCCAAUAGCCCUUCUGAACACGCCUUUGUCCUCACCUACCCAACUCCUGUGUAUAUAACCAGCCACUCCUCACAACCCGGGGCAGCAGCUCUUCCUGCCCACGGGUCCUGUCCCCGUGCUUUAAUAAACCACCAUUUUGCACCAAAGAUGUCUUAAGAAUUCUUUCUUUAGUCAUCAGCUCCGAACCUCACCCCACAGAACCUGACUUAGGUUCUGGGACUUCAUCAGAAGUGCUGAAUUUCCCCAACCCAAGCUGCAAGCAACAUGGACACAGAGCACUCGAGCAUCACAGAAUGAACUCAGGGGAUUUGUUGAUUUGUAAGCAUUGACCAGGCAACCAGUGAAAGGUUGAUGAAAAUCACCCAGAAGAAAAUAAAAGGCAAGGAUCCACGCACGGGAGAUACACUGGCUGAAACACGAGCAAGAAGUUGACACCUCACACCCAUGGCGUCUUGAGAGAGACUGAAAGCCUUUUGAACUACAUGCUGACAGGAGCGCAGCUGACAACACAGUGACCUAGAUCUGCUGCCAGGGGUGCCAGAUGAGCAAGAAAACCCACAAAAUUCAAGGCCUCAGAAUCUGAAUGGGCCACUCAUCAAGGAGGAGCUGGAAAAAGCCUUGAGGGAGUCCAGAAAUUGAAGCUCUCAUCCUGGCUCCUUCAUUCAGUAGCUCUAUGACCACAGGCAAAUCACUUAGCCACUGAAGUUCAGUUUCAUCAAUGGUAAAAUGUAAGAAAAAUGACUGACAGUUUAUCUUCACUUAGAGCUUGGAGUUAUCAUUCAUUAAUAAAUAUAUCACCACAUUCCCACCAGAGGUGAGGAAGAAUUGGGCUGUUUACAACCUAAAGAUUGGGAUACCAUAUCAUUACAAACAAGGCUGAAUGUGAAAAAGAUGUCUGAACUUGGAAUCCAUAGUGGACCAUGAGGUGAUGUGCUAAGAAUAGUGGAGCAGCAAGAUAGAAGGAGUUGGGUCCCUGACUCCUGGAACCACCAUCCCAACCCUGGGUUAUUUUCUGUUGGACCUCUUUGUCAUAAGAGAGAAAUGAUUUCUAUCUUCUUUAGACUACUGUUAUUUUAGUUUUCUUGUCACAUGUAAACUUAGCCCUAAUUCAUAAAAUAAUCAUCUAUUCAAGACCCUAGUGCUAAAUGCUGCACCUGCUGUAAAGAUAUAAAGGUUUUUAGAUACCCAAAGAAUUGACCAGGAAGGCUCUGUCUGGUGUGAAGGAAAUGCUAAGAAAGGUUUGGCCUGGUAGGGCUAUGUGGAUAUGAAGAGGAUUUUAUAAGAUGAAGCCAGGGAAUAUUAUGGAAGGAGCUUAAAUGCCAGGCUAAUGACAUUGGACUUGACCCAGUGAUGGACAAACAGAGCAAGUAAGCUUGCCUCCAAUUUGUGAAUGAAGAAAACCAGGCCUUAUCAGAUUAUAGGACUUGUUCAAGGAUACCCAGCUGGUAAGCUGAAGAGCCAGAGCCAGUCUCAAUUCUGACACUUGCACCCAUGCCAUCCCAUAGUUCUGAUGUCUUUGACGGAAUCUGGGGGAAAAGAGUAGGAAUGGAGAUUUUGCACUUUGGCAUAGCCAGGGAACUAGACUGUGCCCCUCUUCAUAUCCCCACACCGUUAAGAGGAAGCUUUGGAGGGUUGCUAGAAGUUUAGGAUCCAGACCUACCUUGAAGUCAGAGGACCUUCUCGGCUUCUGGCUUAAGCACCCCCAUGAGGCUACAGUGGCCAAGGUGCUGCUUUGCUAUGUGGUAAGUUCUCAUGUGGCAGGCACAGUGCUGGGCACUCUGUACACAUUAUGUAAUUUAGUGCCUUCAGUAGUUUGACAAGAAAGUUAUAAUACCACUCCUAUCUUACAACAAAGAUGUAGAAACUGAGGCUCUAAGAAAUGAAACCACCAACCAAAGUUGAUGGCAGAGUUGAACUUCAAAGCCACAUUUGUUCAACUCCAAAGCUGAGUUCUUAGCCCCACAUUCUAAUGUCUUCCCAAUCCCUGUCACCAAAGCAUGGAAUAGUAUCCUAUUACUACUCAGACACCAAGGACUUACCGGGUUUAGUAGGCUGACGAGUACCAGAUUCCCUCUGUGCGCAUUCCACCUAUAGUUGGGAGUCAACCUCCAAUCCAAUAAUCCUAUCAACCAUGCCUUACACGUGACCCUCACAUGGGUGAGGGAUCUCCUGGAGAGGUAGACCCACAGAUGCUCAGAUCUUUGUGGCCUCAAGCCUCCCAGGGUUCUUUGUCUUGGCUGGUCAUGUGGCUAGGAUGUCAGAGUCCUCCCAUUCUAGGUUCUAGAAUUCACAAAUUCCAAUGAGCUGUUUCAUGGAAUCAGGGACACUACAUUCUUUGUGUCCUUCCUGUGGCUGCCAUGGUUAGAAUGCAUUUGUUAUGAUUUGCACUGGCAUUCAGUCAAUAAACAACUGGUCAUUGGAAUUGAAUCUCCUAUCAUUGCCAACAUUUGGAAAAUUGCAUUUUAUUUUGCUGGUUAUCCAGUGCGCAUCUUUCCAGUAAUGUGGUAUGUCCAGUGUUCCAACACAAACCACAUAUUCCCCUAAGCUGACCACACUGGUUUUCUUCUGGAACUUCCAUAGGAAACACCCUGAGAUGUAGCCUGUAGAGCUGAAGGCGACUGAUGGACCCCUAUCUCCUCUGCAUUCUCUGCUCAACAGAGACAAACUACUUUGUCAGGUUUUGCCCUGGGUCAUCACCCACCACCCAAUUCUUGUGCAACCUCCCUUCCUAUUGGAAAAACUUCUUCCUUUCCAUGCUCAGCCUGCGAUUCUCACCCCACACCCUCUUGCUAAUCAGGCUGAAGAUGGA